AACGAACGCUGGCGGCAUGCCUAACACAUGCAAGUCGAACGAAGGCUUCGGCCUUAGUGGCGCACGGGUGCGUAACGCGCGGGAAUCUGCCCCUCGGUUCGGAAUAACAGCUAGAAAUGACUGCUAAUACCGGAUGAUGACUUCGGUCCAAAAAUUUAUCGCCGAGGGAUGAGCCCGCGUAAGAUUCGGGAGUUGGUGGGGUAAAGGCCUACCAAGCCGACGAUCUUUAGCUGGUCUGAGAGGAUGAUCAGCCACACUGGGACUGAGACACGGCCCAGACUGCUACGGGAGGCAGCAGUGGGGAAUAUUGGACAAUGGGCGAAAGCCUGAUCCAGCAAUGCCGCGUGAGUGAUGAAGGCCUUAGGGUUGUAAAGCUCUUUUACCAGGGAUGAUAAUGACAGUACCUGGAGAAUAAGCUCCGGCUAACUCCGUGCCAGCCGCCGCAGUAA
rnacentral:rRNA from 1 species